rnacentral:lncRNA from 1 species
GGAGUAGGAGCAAUGCAGGUCUCCAAGGCAGCUCCACGAGCGGAGGCGCAAGGAAAGGGUCAGGUUACCGCACUUAACGGGCUCUCCCAGCCGCAAACCAGCGGCCGGCUCUAGCCAGUCCCGCCCCCCGAGAAUCAAAGACUGAGAGUGCCUCAGUGGUGCAAGCUUUGAUGACGUAUGAAUGCCAAGCAUCCCACGGUUCCAGGUGUAGAAGAGCUCCCCGAAGUAUGUGCUGAACAAAUCAAUGAAUAAGAUCAACGUAAAGCUCAAAGCUGCAAAAUGAAGAAACAGGAUAGCGAUUCAUUCUGCGAAACUUGAAAAUAAAAAAAAAAGUUUGAACUGU